rnacentral:rRNA from 1 species
UGUUCGUUAUUUAGGGCGCAUGGUGGAUGCCUUGGCAUGCUGAGCCGAUGAAGGACGUGAAAGGCUGCGUUAAGCCUCGGGGAGUUGUCAAUUGAGCGUUGAUCCGAGGAUGUCCGAAUGGGGAAACCUGGCACCUGUUAUGGGGUGUUACCCUUCAGUGAAUUCAUAGCUGUUGUGGGGGUUACGCGGGGAAGUGAAACAUCUCAGUACCCGUAGGAGAAGAAAAUAAUAAUGAUUCUGCUAGUAGUGGCGAACGAACGUGGAUGAGGCUAAACCGUGUGCAUGUGAUACCUGGUAGGGGUUGUGUGUGCGGUGUUGUGGGCCCUGAUGAGGAUGGCUACUGACGUCCUGCCCGCGCAUUGUUGUUAGGUGAAGUGGUGUGGAAACGCCUGCCGUAGAAGGUGAUAGUCCUGUAGCUGAAGAUGAUGGUGUGUGGGUUGUUGGGUUGCCCGAGUAGCAGCGGGCUCGUGGAAUCUGCUGUGAAUCUGCCGGGACCACCCGGUAAGCCUAAAUACUCAGUGUGACCGAUAGUGGAUAGUACCGUGAGGGAAUGGUGAAAAGUACCCCGGGAGGGGAGUGAAAUAGUUCCUGAAACCAUGUGCUUACAAUCCGUCAGAGCACUUUUUGUGUGUGAUGGCGUGCCUUUUGAAGAAUGAGCCUGCGAGUCAGCGGCAUGUCGCGAGGUUAACCCGUGUGGGGUAGCCGUAGGGAAACCGAAUCCUAAUGGGGUGUUUAGUGGCAUGUCCUGGACCCGAAGCGGGGUGAUCUACCCAUGGCCAGUGUGAAGCAGCAGUAAGAUGCUGUGGAGGCGCGAACCCACGUAGGUUGAAAACUGCGGGGAUGAGCUGUGGGUAGGGGUGAAAGGCCAAUCAAACUCCGUGAUAGCUGGUUCUCCCCGAAAUGCAUUUAGGUGCAGCGUC